CCUUUUCCGGUUGAUCCCGCCGGACCUCACUGCUAUCGAGGUGGGACUAAGCCAUGCUAGUCGAACGACCCGAACUAUGUCGGGGAGUGGCAUACUGCUCAAUAACACGUAGCUAACCUAACCUUAGGACGGGAAAAACCCCGGGAAACUGGGGCUAAUAUCCGAUAGGUGUGAUGUCCUGGAAUGGUAUCACGCCCAAAAGUGACAAUAGCAUGUUAUUAUCAUGCCUUAGGAUGGGGCUGCGGCCGAUCAGGCUGUUGGUGAGGUAACGGCUCACCAAACCUUUGACCGGUACGGGCCAUGAGAGUGGUAGCCCGGAGAUGGGCACUGAGAUAAGGGCCCAGGCCCUACGGGGCGCAGCAGGCGCGAAACCUCCUCAAUGCACACACGUGCGAAGGGGUUACCUCGAGUGCUGUCUGAAGAAGGCGGCUUUUCCUUGGUGUAACUAGCCAUGGGAAUAAGAGGGGGGCAAGACUGGUGUCAGCCGCCGCGGUAACACCAGCCCCUCGAGUGGUGGGGAUGAUUAUUUGGCCUAAAGCGUCCGUAGCCGGCCGGGUUAGUCCCCCGUUAAAUCCAGCGUCUCAAGCGUUGGACUGCGGGAGAUACUGCCCGGCUAGAGAGUGGGAGAGGUCAACGGUAUUCUGGGGGUAGGGGCGAAAUCCUUUGAUCCCCGGAGGACCACCAGUGGCGAAGGCUGUUGACUAGAACACGUCUGACGGUCAGGGACGAAAGCUGGGGUAGCGAACCGGAUUAGAUACCCGGGUAGUCCCAGCCGUAAACGAUGCACGCUAGGUGUUGGGUCGGCCAUGAGCCGCCCCAGUGCCGCAGGGAAGCCAUUAAGCGUGCCGCCUGGGGAGUACGGCCGCAAGGCUGAAACUUAAAGGAAUUGGCGGGGGAGCACCACCAGGCGUGAAGCCUGCGGUUUAAUUGGAUUCAACGCCGGGAAGGGGG
rnacentral:rRNA from 1 species